CCUACGGGAGGCAGCAGUAGGGAAUCUUCCGCAAUGGACGAAAGUCUGACGGAGCAACGCCGCGUGAACGAUGAAGGCCUUCGGGUCGUAAAGUUCUGUUGUUAGGGAAGAACAAGUGCUAGUUGAAUAAGCUGGCACCUUGACGGUACCUAACCAGAAAGCCACGGCUAACUACGUGCCAGCAGCCGCGGUAAUACGUAGGUGGCAAGCGUUGUCCGGAAUUAUUGGGCGUAAAGCGCGCGCAGGCGGUUUCUUAAGUCUGAUGUGAAAGCCCCCGGCUCAACCGGGGAGGGUCAUUGGAAACUGGGAAACUUGAGUGCAGAAGAGGAAAGUGGAAUUCCAAGUGUAGCGGUGAAAUGCGUAGAGAUUUGGAGGAACACCAGUGGCGAAGGCGACUUUCUGGUCUGUAAACUGACGCUGAGGCGCGAAAGCGUGGGGAGCAAACAGGAUUAGAUACCCUGGUAGUCCACGCUGUAAACGAUGAGUGCUAAGUGUUAGAGGGUUUCCCGCCUUUAGUGCUGAAGUUACGCAUUAAGCACUCCGCCGUCGGGAGGUACGGUCGGCGACGACGUACGAACGUAACGAAGUAAGUACGUACGUCGUAGUAGUACGCGACGACGACGACGACGGAGGAGGAG
rnacentral:rRNA from 1 species